ACGGGGUGCAGCAGGCGCGAAACCUUUGCAAUGUGCGAAAGCACGACAAGGUUAAUCCGAGUGUCUCCCGCUAAGGGAGUCUUUUGUCAGUUCUAGAACCACUGGUGAAUAAGGGGUGGGCAAGUUCUGGUGUCAGCCGCCGCGGUAAAACCAGCACCUCGAGUGGUCAGGAGGUUUAUUGGGCCUAAAGCAUCCGUAGCCGGUUGCAUAAGUUUUCGGUUAAAUCCAUGCGCUUAACGUAUGGGCUGCCGGGAAUACUGCAUAACUAGGAAGUGGGAGAGGUAGACGGUACUCGGUAGGAAGGGGUAAAAUCCUUUGAUCUAUUGAUGACCACCUGUGGCGAAGGCGGUCUACCAGAACACGUUCGACGGUGAGGGAUGAAAGCUGGGGGAGCAAACCGGAUUAGAUACCCGGGUAGUCCCAGCUGUAAACUAUGCAAACUCAGUGAUGCAUUGGCUUGUGGCCAAUGCAGUGCUGCAGGGAAGCCGUUAAGUUUGCCGCCUGGGAAGUACGUACGCAAGUAUGAAACUUAAAGGAAUUGGCGUGGGAGCAC
rnacentral:rRNA from 2 species